GACGAACGCUGGCGGCGUGCUUAACACAUGCAAGUCGAACGGAAAGGCCCUGCUUUUGUGGGGUGCUCGAGUGGCGAACGGGUGAGUAACACGUGAGUAACCUGCCCUUGACUUUGGGAUAACUUCAGGAAACUGGGGCUAAUACCGGAUAGGAGCUCCUGCUGCAUGGUGGGGGUUGGAAAGUUUCGGCGGUUGGGGAUGGACUCGCGGCUUAUCAGCUUGUUGGUGGGGUAGUGGCUUACCAAGGCUUUGACGGGUAGCCGGCCUGAGAGGGUGACCGGCCACAUUGGGACUGAGAUACGGCCCAGAGUCCUACGGGGGGCAGCAGUGGGGAAUAUUGCACAAUGGGCGGAAGCCUGAUGCAGCAACGCCGCGUGCGGGAUGAAGGCCUUCGGGUUGUAAACCGCUUUCGCCUGUGACGAAGCGUGAGUGACGGUAAUGGGUAAAGAAGCACCGGCUAACUACGUG
rnacentral:rRNA from 1 species